rnacentral:lncRNA from 1 species
AUAGUAAUAACCACCAUACAGCCAAAGAGAUAGAGAGUAAUAGAGAGUAAUAACCACCAUACAGCCAAAGAGAGAGAUAGAGAGUAAUAACCACCAUACAGCCAAAGAGAGAGAUAGAGAGUAAUAACCACCAUACAGCCAGAGAGAGAGAGAUAGAGAGUAAUAACCACCAUACAGCCAAAGAGAGAGAUAGAGAGUAAUAACCACCAUACAGCCAAAGAGAGAGAUAGAGAGUAAUAACCACCACACGCAAGAAGAUAGAGAGUAAUAACCACCAUACAGCUAAAGAGAGAGAUAGAGAGUAAUAACCACCACACAGCCAAAGAGAGAGAUAGAGAGUAAUAACCACCAUACAGGCAAAGAGAGAGAUAGAGAGUAAUAACCACCAUACAGCCAAAGAGAGAUAGAGAGUAAUAACCACCAUACAGCCAAAGAGAGAGAUAGAGAGUAAUAACCACCAUACAGCCAAAGAGAGAUAGAGAGUAAUAACCACCACACAGCCAAAGAGAGAGAUAGAGAGUAAUAACCACCACACAGCCAUUCGAAUUCCAUUUGUCAUAGCCACAA